UCUCCAAACCUAAAUCCUAUCAGAUAUCACAAUUCACAGCAGUCAACAGCCGUUAUAUCACUAUUCAGUUUUCACAGGAAUCUUUCUUUACAAAUUACCACGAGUCAACGACACCAGAGCCCGGUGGACGAUAGACCGUCGGUAACAACGCCGCAGACUCCCUUUUUUUACAACGACACCAAAGACGGCGAUCUGUGACUGUGGUGUAACUGCGGCGAUCUUUACAAUGACACCGAAUAGUGUUUGACUGUUUGAGAUUGUUGAACGGUAUCGAGUGGCGACCGGUUGCAGGCGACAUUCCGACAAUCAGAUCCUUUGUUCGAUUAUUUAUUCUAGCGAUUAAUCGGAAGUAAGGUAAGUGAAGAUGGAGCAUCUAAUGAAAAUAUUUCAAUUUCAUCUCCAAAUGAAGUUGAAAUUGCGGUUGAAGCUGAAGAAUCAAAAAAAGAAAGCUCAUGGAACCGAGGGCAAGAUGUUGGUAGUGGUUUGACAAAAUUAUUGAUGGAAAAAACGAAGCUCAGAAAGUAAAAUGUAAGUAUUGUGGAAAAAUUUAUGUUGUUGCUCCAAGUGCUAGCGGUACUUGGGCGAUGAAUAAUCACAUGCUAAAAUUAUAUCCUUACCACCCUAAUCGCCCUAAUGCUGGUGUGAAAGAGAAAGACAAUAAAAUAAAAUUAGUUUUUCUACCA